CUCAUCAUCCGAGGUCAUACUUGGCCCUGGUAAGAAAACUACAGAAUCGAGGGUGUGGGGAACUCCUAAAACUUCAUCAGAAGUCUUGAGGUAAUAAGGUAAAGAGAGGGCUAAGACUGCCAGAGGAGAGACAGAGAAUUAAACUUCAAAUGGCUAGAGGCCAGAGGCCAGAGGAAAUGAGACAGAAGGAGAAAUGGUGAUUGGCGCACCUUGGUAGGAAGAGAUCCCAGCAUUUGGACAAGGGACAUCCUAAGUAUUUCAGGAGGACAAAAAGAACCAGCUGUCCAGAGAAGAAAUCUGAGCUGAAAUGUUCUAGCUGUUUUUGGCAAAGAAGCAGCUGAGUCUCCACCUUUCUACUGAUCACAGUUCAGGAAAUCACUGCAACUA